rnacentral:rRNA from 1 species
CAGUAGCCACGGUAAUACAGAGGGUGCGAGCGUUAAUCGGAUUUACUGGGCGUAAAGCGUGCGUAGGCGGCUUCUUAAGUCGGAUGUGAAAUCCCUGAGCUUAACUUAGGAAUUGCAUUCGAUACUGGGAAGCUAGAGUAUGGGAGAGGAUGGUAGAAUUCCAGGUGUAGCGGUGAAAUGCGUAGAGAUCUGGAGGAAUACCGAUGGCGAAGGCAGCCAUCUGGCCUAAUACUGACGCUGAGGUACGAAAGCAUGGGGAGCAAACAGGAUUAGAUACCCCCGUAGUCCCUGUCCUUAUACA